GGGUCGCAAAUGCAGUAGCUGAAGCGUCCUGGCUUCGCAACCUACUCCUGGAACUGCAUUGCCCUCUCCGACACGCCACUAUUGUGUACUGCGACAACAUAAGUGCUGUCUAUCUCUCGUCAAAUCCAGUGCAACAUCAACGUACUAAGCACAUAGAAAUAGACAUACACUUUGUUAGAGAAAAAGUACAAAUGGGCGAAGUCAGAGUCCAUCACAUACCGGCGGCUUCACAAUAUGCGGAUAUUUUCACCAAAGGACUACCCACCUCCUUGUUCAACAGCUUCCGCUCCAGUCUUGGUGUCAAUACAAUCGACCCUGCGACUGCGGGGGGGUGUUAGUGAAACCAAGAAUA
rnacentral:lncRNA from 1 species